CUUCAAGGGAGCCUUUCCUCCAGAGGAUGGCAAUCCGGGUGCAAAAUUGAAAGAGCAGGUUCGAGGAAGGGUUAAAAGUACUUUUCCCAACUCCUGUGUUUCAGAGACACGCUGGGCAUCCUUCGGAGGGGUGGGAAGGAUGACAAAAAAGGGAAUCCUGGCUACCGAUUGGCUAGCCUCUAGCAGCUGCAGUUGAGCUAAAGCGGCUGCUAAAGAGCAGUAUUGAUUUGAAGGGGAAAUGUGGAGGGAGUCCCUGAGAGAGGGAUCCAGUCAUUUCUGAGAAGAGCCAGCCUCUUCCAGGAAGAAAGGGGGUCUCCAUCUACCUGCCUGGCCCCUGACAUCCUUCUGUGAAUGAAGAGGAAGAUCCAGAAAAGCCAGCUUGGUGCUACAGUGAUUUAGAAAGGGAAGGGAAUCGCUUCUUCAGCGCAAGGUAUCUUGCCUUUUGCUGGUGCUGCUGUUCUUGCUGCUGCAGUUUCUGCUCCUCAGCUCUGCUGGCCAGCUGGUUGGUGUUAUUUGGGAAUGCAGCCAACUGAGGAUUGGAGAACUUUGCUUUGAAGUUUCAGACGAUGAUCCGUCUCCUAAAGUUGAAAUGGUGUGAAAAGGACUUCAGGGUUCAGCUGGAGUUACAGAGAAGGCACUAAUGAAAGGAAAUACUGAUG
rnacentral:lncRNA from 1 species